rnacentral:misc_RNA from 1 species
GAUGAAGAACGCAGCGAAACGCGAUAUGUAAUGUGAAUUGCAGAAUUCAGUGAAUCAUCGAAUCUUUGAACGCACAUGGCGCCUUCCAGUAUCCUGGGAGGCAUGCCUGUCCGAGCGUCGUUUCAACCCUCGAGCCCCCGUGGCCCGGCGUUGGGGAUCUGCCCAGGCAGUCCCCGAAAACCAGUGGCGGACCCGUUACAGGCCCUUCCCUUGCGUAGUAGCAUUCGCCUCGCAUCGGGAGCCGGCGGGCUUCCAGCCUCUAAACCCCCAUCAAGUCCGCCCCGGCGGCACCAAGGUCGACCUCGGAUCAGGUAGGAAUACCCGCUGAACUUAAGCAUAUCAAUAAGCGGAGGA